UACAAAAAGGAAAAUUACAGAGAAAAACAAACCCUAUUUCAUUUCCCCCCUCACAAAUCAACCAAAAACCAAAAGCAUCUCUUCCUUCCUCACACAAUCCAUGGUGCCUUGCGUCUGAUCGUUGCUUUGCUCACACCGACCACCGAGGUUUCUUCUUCUUCUUCUUCUUCCACCCGCGCGCUUCAUUUUUGUCAGGCUCAAUGGCUACUGUGGAGGCUGCUCGCCAGCUUUUGUAUGGGGGAAGCGGUCGCCUCGGCUGUUUCGAUGCAUUUCUCAGCAAUGUGAAUGGGGGAAUGUCUGUUAAGUGUGGUGUGAAUAAUGGAGGGAAGAGGAGUUCGGUGCGCGCUCAGGUGUGUAAAAGUUCAAGAGGUUUAGGGGAUCGCAGGGGUGUUGGUGUCUUUCAGGGGGAUGCGGGUGGUGGUUCUCGUAGAUUGGAUUCUAUGAGGUAUAAUUGUCAACGGAUGGAAAGUCCUGCGGAGGAUCAGCGUAGGACUUUGUUUGUGGAUGAAUCGGAGAAGGUGAAAUCAGGUCAUUCUAAUGGUAUACUCGGUUCAGAUGCGAAUCAAUUCAAAGUGGAUCAGCCACUGGACAAUGGAAAUGGGGGUUUUGGGUCAAAUGGUAAGCCGGCUGCAGCAGCAGUGCAUGAAGAUGCUGUGCAGAAGAUUAUGAGCAAUUCACUUGAGGAUGAAGCUUGGACUUUGCUAAGAAACUCCAUGGUCUAUUAUUGUAAUAAUCCUAUUGGAACCAUUGCUGCUAAUGAUCCAAGCUCCCCCAGUACUCUGAACUAUGAUCAGGUCUUCAUUCGGGAUUUUAUACCAUCCGGGAUAGCCUUCCUUUUAAAAGGGGAGUAUGAUAUCGUGCGGAACUUUAUUCUUCAUACCCUUCAGUUGCAGAGCUGGGAGAAAACCAUGGAUUGUUAUAGUCCUGGUCAAGGAUUGAUGCCUGCCAGUUUCAAGGUUCGAACUGUUCCACUCGAAGGUGAUGACUAUGCAACUGAAGAUGUGUUAGAUCCUGACUUUGGUGAAGCUGCUAUUGGUCGUGUUGCCCCUGUUGACUCUGGGUUAUGGUGGAUUAUCCUGUUAAGAGCUUAUGGAAAAUGCUCUGGAGAUCUUUCAGUGCAAGAGAGAGUUGAUGUACAAACUGGGAUAAAAAUGAUUUUAAAGCUCUGUCUAGCAGAUGGAUUUGAUAUGUUUCCAACACUACUGGUCACAGAUGGUUCUUGCAUGAUAGAUCGCCGGAUGGGAAUUCAUGGUCAUCCUUUGGAGAUUCAGGCACUGUUCUAUUCCGCAUUACUUGGAGCACGUGAAAUGCUUGCUCCAGAGGAUGCAUCAGCUGACCUCAUGCAAGCUCUGAAAAAUCGUCUAGUUGCAUUAUCCUUUCAUAUCAGAGAAUAUUAUUGGAUUGACAUGAGAAGGCUCAAUGAAAUUUACCGAUACAAGACAGAGGAAUACUCAUAUGAUGCUGUUAAUAAGUUCAAUAUCUACCCAGAUCAGAUUCCAUCCUGGCUUGUGGACUUUAUGCCCAGUCAAGGUGGCUAUUUGAUUGGAAACCUGCAGCCCGCUCACAUGGACUUCCGUUUCUUUUCUCUUGGAAACUUGUGGUCUAUCGUAAGCAGUCUUGCAACAUUGGAGCAGUCACAUGCUAUACUGGAUCUUAUUGAUGCAAAAUGGGAGGAAUUGGUGGCAGAUAUGCCCUUUAAAAUAUGCUAUCCUGCGCUAGAAGGCCGGGAAUGGCAAAUCAUCACAGGCAGUGAUCCCAAAAACACUCCCUGGUCUUACCACAAUGGAGGUUCUUGGCCAACAUUACUUUGGCAGCUCACUGUGGCUUGCAUAAAGCUUGACAGACCAGAAAUUGCAUCAAAAGCUAUCAAGCUGGCUGAGAAACGCAUAUCUAAAGAUAAGUGGCCGGAAUACUAUGACACCAAGCGAGCAAGAUUUAUUGGAAAACAAGCCCAGCUGUAUCAAACAUGGUCGAUUGCUGGGUACCUUGUAGCAAAGCUUCUUCUCGAUAACCCAAGUGCAGCAAAGAACAUUCUGAAUGAAGAAGAUUCGGACCUUGUAAAUGCAUUUUCUUGCAUGAUAAGCGCCAACCCAAGAAGGAAGCGUAGUUGGAAGAAACAGAUUUUAGUAUGAAGGUACAGAAAGAAUAUGGAAACACUAGUUAAAUUGAUUAACGAAGCCACUGAGAAUUGAAGCAUGGGACAGAAUUCUAAAUUUGUUCUACUGCAGCUGGCGAAGUUUAUUUCAAUUCUCACCAGUAAGUUGAAGCUCAGUGGCUUCACUUUGCGAAGUGGAUUGUAUAUAUAGCCCUUCGUGCUUUUUUUUGGGGUCAUGUUACAGUACAGUAAACCGGUAUUAGACAAUUCUAUACGUGACCAGUGGAGAAAUGUUGCUUGUCAUUUUUUUACUCCAUUCUUCAUCCUAUUCUUAUGUUUAAGGACCUAACCGCUAGAUUGACAACUAUGGCACUAACGUCACUUCGACUUCCACGGCCCACGGCGAGGCGGCAGAGUAUUGCAGCUGCACUGUUGGUUCUGGAAGAGAAAAACAUGUCUGUCUCGCCGUCGCUGGUGUUUGGAUCAUAA